rnacentral:rRNA from 1 species
UAAUAUAUUAGAAAUUAGGUAGUAAUGAUGUUUCUGAAACCUAAAGAACUUGGCGGUAUUUUAGAUAAUUGGAGGAACUUGUUAUUUAAUUGAAAUUCCACAGCACAUCUUCCCUUAUUUUUGUUUGUAUAUCGUUGUUUCAAGACAACAUUUCAAAGUGUAGUCGAGAUUAAAAUUUUUUAUCAUAUCAAAUCAAGGUGCAGCAUAGUAAGGUUAUAAUGAGUUACAAUAUAGUUUAUGUAAACGAAAAAGGAUAUGAAAAGUAAUUAGAAGGUGGAUUCAAAAGUAAUAAAAAAUUAAAAAGUUUUUAUGGAUUAUAAUUUAAGAUAUGC